UUAUGCUGGUUUGAAGUUCUACAUUUAUGAAAAACUGAAAAGUCAUGUCCCUGAGGAGCAUCAAAGUUCCAUCGUGAUGCGACUUUCUUGUGGAGCUCUGGCCGGGUUAUUGGGGCAGACGUUCACGUAUCCCCUGGACGUCGUUAGAAGACAAAUGCAGGUUGGAGAUAUGCCAUCUUCACUUAAUGGUCAAGUCAGAUUUAGGAAUUCGAUAGAAGGUCUUACAAUGAUCGUUCGUAACCAAGGGUGGAGACAGUUGUUUGCAGGACUGAGCAUUAACUAUAUCAAGAUUGUUCCUUCUGUGGCUAUUGGAUUUGCAGCAUAUGAUAGCAUGAAGUUAUGGCUCCGAAUCCCGCCUCGGCAGAAGACGCAGUCAAUUUCUUCUUCUGCUGCAUAAAUUGAACCCUCUCCGCUGUUAACGCUCUCUCUAGAAUGCUUUUGUAACUGGACUUUGCUUAUUAUGUAGUUCUACUCUUGCAUAAAGUUGUGACUAUCAUAUGUGCUCGAGUCUAUAACGAGACAUGCUCUUCCUAGUUCCCUGUAAUCGGUAUG
rnacentral:misc_RNA from 1 species